UUCAUGGGCUGAGAUUAUUUAAGUAGUUGGGUUUAUUUUAAUUAUCUUAUGGGCUGCAUAUUUCAUUUUAAAUAAGUUGGACUUACUUUAUAAAUAUCAACCCACUUUUUCGAAAAUAUAUUUUACUACUUAAAUUCAUUAGAUCAAUUAUUUUUACAUGAUUCUAUAAUUUAAAUUAUUUUCUAAGCUCAAUUAGGCCCUUAUAUUCUAUUAUUUGAAUUUAUCUGAUUAGGUGCGGCGCGACUAGGACGUUACUUUUAUUUGAUUUACUCAAGUUAGCAUACAAGUUCAAGUUCAAGUUUCAGGUGUGGGAUUUAUUUCAGUACAUGCCGUGGUUAAUUGUUGUCCAUUUUAAUAUUAUGUGUUUGCCAUAUGUGUUGUAAAUUCAGUUAUAUCGCUAGGGGCCCGCUCAAUGGGUCCAGGACUUCACAGUCCUUGGUAUGCCACAAUGCGAUUUCAUGUUAAAGUUAUGGUUGCAACCAGUCGCCAGGGGCCGGCUCAAUCGGUCCAGGACAGAAAGGUCCUUGGUAUGCCACAGUGCGACUUUCAGUCACGAAUGUUUUAAAGGCCGGAGGCACGUGGAAGGUCGAAUGGCGAGUCAAAUAUUUUGAAUUCAGUUUUUCUUAAAAAUGUUAUUUUGAGUAAAGUAUGUUUAAAUAAAUAUUUAUUUCACUAUUUUCUUGUUAAAUAUUUAUUUAUAGUCAUGAUUUUUCCGCGUGCGUUUUCAUGUAAAUUUAAAAUGGAU